rnacentral:rRNA from 1 species
UACGUAGGGUGCGAGCGUUGUCCGGAAUUAUUGGGCGUAAAGGGCUCGUAGGCGGUUUGUCGCGUCGGGAGUGAAAACCAUGGGCUUAACUCAUGGCUUGCUUCCGAUACGGGCAGACUAGAGGUAUGCAGGGGAGAAGCGAAUUCCUGGUGUAGCGGUGAAAUGCGCAGAUAUCAGGAGGAACACCGGUGGCGAAGGCGGUUCUCUGGGCAUUACCUGACGCUGAGGAGCGAAAGUGUGGGGAGCGAACAGG